UGGCUAACUCCUACGGGAGGCAGCAGUGGGGAAUCUUAGACAAUGGGCGCAAGCCUGAUCUAGCCAUGUCGCGUGAGCGAUGAAGGCCUUAGGGUUGUAAAGCCCUUUCAGCUGGGAAGAUAAUGACUGUACCAGCAGAAGAAGCCCCGGCUAACUCCGUGCCAGCAGCCGCGGUAAUACGGAGGGGGCUAGCGUUGUUCGGGAUUACUGGGCGUAAAGCGCACGUAGGCGGACUGGAAAGUCAGGGGUGAAAUCCCGGGGCUCAACCCCGGAACUGCCUUUGAAACUCCCAGUCUUGAGGUCGAGAGAGGUGAGUGGAAUUCCGAGUGUAGAGGUGAAAUUCGUAGAUAUUCGGAGGAACACCAGUGGCGAAGGCGGCUCACUGGCUCGAUACUGACGCUGAGGUGCGAAAGCGUGGGGAGCAAACAGGAUUAGAUACCCCUGUAGUCCAGCUGG
rnacentral:rRNA from 1 species